AGAUACCAGCAGGUGCAGCAGCCCUUCAUGAUUUGAAUUUGAGAUCAGUGAGGUUGUUUGUGUUUUAAACAGCUGCACGUGGCGGUAGUGUUCGGGCAUCUCUGGACUUUAAUUGUACCAUCUGUAUGAAUGAUACUAAUACAUGUUUCAAGCUUUCCAGUCUGUUAGCUGCUUGGAUUAUUAGUGGGCUGUGCAGAUAUAGUAUGAUGAUUGUGGCUCUUGGUUUUUAUUUGGGGGUGUCUUUGCUUUGCCUGGUGUCACCUGUAAGUUGCAGUGCUGCUUUGAAAGGGCUUCUCAACAGCCACAAGAAUGAAGAAUCUACAGAUUUGCACAUCAGCUCUAACGCCAAUGCAGACAAGCCUGCCCAGGUUUCAGGCUCCCCUGGUCCCAGUCAAUUGGCUCUGCCCAGAGAGAAUUCCCCUUUGAGCAAGAUCUCUCUUCCUCUGUCCCCUCCCACUAAAGCUUUUGGUCUACCACAACCGCUGCCCCAACGGCAAGUAUUCCCACUGCUUAAAGUCUUGGCACCCCCACCCCCUGAGGCGUUUGCUCUACCAAGAAGUCCAGUACCCCAACGUCAGGUAUUCUCUCUCCCUAAAGUCUUAGUACCCCCGCCCCCUGAGGCGUUUGCUCUACCAAGACGUCCAGUACGCCAACGUCAGGUAUUCUCUCUCCCUAAAGUCUUAGUACCCCCGCCCCCUGAGGCGUUUGCUCUACCAAGACGUCCAGUACACCAACGUCAGGUAUUCUCUCUCCCUAAAGUCUUAGUACCCCCGCCCCCUGAGGCGUUUGCUCUACCAAGACGUCCAGUACGCCAACGUCAGGUAUUCUCUCUCCCUAAAGUCUUAGUACCCCCGCCCCCUGAGGCGUUUGCUUUGCCCAGAAAGCCAGUGCCCUUAAGACCGAUAGUCCCACUGCCAAAAGUCUUGGUGCCACCCCAUCCUGCUGCAAAGUUUUUGCAGACCCAUCCACUUCCAGUGCAGUCGUCCGGAACUCCUGAGACUUGGGUAAUGCCCACCCCCUAAACAACACUAACCUCACAGGAAGUAUGAACUAUUCUAACUGCACUAACCUGUGGAGCAGUGUGUACUAUUCUACAGUAACUGCACUAACCUGAGGGGCAAUGUAUGUUCUAACAGCUCUAAUCUGAGGGGCAAGGUGUAUUGUACAAGAUUUAUUUGUCCUUUGUUUCAAGGGUUGGCAUAUGUGGGGGCCAGUGUGCAGCUAGUCCUUACUGAUGACAUGCUGUGACUUACUUGCAAUAAAUAACCAUAUUUGUAGUCUUA